rnacentral:rRNA from 1 species
GACGAACGCUGGCGGCGUGCUUAACACAUGCAAGUCGAACGGAGCGAUUUAUUUCGGUAAAUCGCUUAGUGGCAAACGGGUGAGUAACGCGUAGGCAACCUGCCCUCAGGAUGGGGACAACGGCUCGAAAGAGCCGCUAAUACCGAAUGACGUAACUCUUCCACAUGGAAGAGAUACUAAAGAUGGGUCAAACCAUCGCCUAAGGAUGGGCCUGCGUCUGAUUAGCCAGUUGGUGAGGUAACGGCUCACCAAAGCGACGAUCAGUAGCCGGUCUGAGAGGAUGAACGGCCACAAUGGGACUGAGACACGGCCCAUACUCCUACGGGAGGCAGCAGUGGGGAAUCUUCCGCAAUGGGCGAAAGCCUGACGGAGCAACGCCGCGUGAGUGAAGAAGGUCUUCGGAUCGUAAAGCUCUGUUGUCGGGGACGAAAGGAAAGGGGAGGCAAUGCCCUUUCAAGACGGUACCCGACG